AUUGAACGCUGGCGGCAGGCCUAACACAUGCAAGUCGAGCGGAUGAAGGGAGCUUGCUCCUGGAUUCAGCGGCGGACGGGUGAGUAAUGCCUAGGAAUCUGCCUGGUAGUGGGGGAUAACGUCCGGAAACGGGCGCUAAUACCGCAUACGUCCUGAGGGAGAAAGUGGGGGAUCUUCGGACCUCACGCUAUCAGAUGAGCCUAGGUCGGAUUAGCUAGUUGGUGGGGUAAAGGCCUACCAAGGCGACGAUCCGUAACUGGUCUGAGAGGAUGAUCAGUCACACUGGACCUGAGACACGGUCCAGACUCCUACGGGAGGCAGCAGUGGGGAAUAUUGGACAAUGGGCGAAAGCCUGAUCCAGCCAUGCCGCGUGUGUGAAGAAGGUCUUCGGAUUGUAAAGCACUUUAAGUUGGGAGGAAGGGCAGUAAGUUAAUACCUUGCUGUUUGGACGUUACCAACAGAAUAAGCACCGGCUAACUUCGU
rnacentral:rRNA from 1 species